GUCCUUCCAACUUGUGAGAGUUUGAGAUCACCAGUUGUGAGAAAUUGGAGGCCUUACCCAAAGGCAUGCACAACAGCACAACCUCAACUCUCUUGAGAUAUUAAGGAUCCCCAUUUUCAGACAUGUUUUCAGAGCUUGGUGCACUUCAUUGCCGUUGUAGCUGCAGAAAUCAAUAUUAAUCAGGGUCAGGAUUCAGGAGACUCAGCAGUCGAUCAGGAUUCAGACUCCCAAAUGACAAAAAACAGAAGAUAUGUAGGGCAAACCCUUGGAGGAGUAAAGCAGCAUGUAUGUAAGAGAAAUUGUCUUUCUAAUGGAGCCUUCUGAUGGCGAAACUGCCGUGGAAUAUAUUGAGUUGCUCUUCAAGAUGUCAAUUCAGAAAAUGCUGGCAUCUCCUUGAUUGUGCAGGAAUUUCUGUGUACAACUUGAAAGCUAUUUACUAGAGAAGUGGGCAAUGUUGAGUCUUUAAGCAGCCUGCAUACUAGCGUUUGACAUGGAUUCUACCUUCACAUGCUUAUAGAGCUAUGAUGGAAUUUUUGGGGAAGUACCAAAAAUGCUGGUCCAACCGUUAUCGGUCAUAAGCUG